rnacentral:misc_RNA from 1 species
UUUCCGUAGGUGAACCUGCGGAAGGAUCAUUAUUGUAUAACCGAGGUGCGAGGGCUGUCGCUGACCCGAAAGGUCGUGCACGCCCGAGUGCCCUCACACACAUCCAUCUCACCCUAUGUGCACCACCGCGUGGGUCCCCCUUUGGCUUGUUCGGAGGGGGGCUUACGUUUUCACACAAACUUUGUAUGCAGUGUAGAAUGUAUUUUUUGUUUUUGCGAUCACGCAAUCAAUACAACUCUCAACAACGGAUCUCUUGGCUCUC